UACGUAGGGUGCAAGCGUUGUCCGGAAUUAUUGGGCGUAAAGAGCUCGUAGGCGGUCUGUCGCGUCGGCUGUGAAAACCCAGGGCUCAACCCUGGGCCUGCAGUCGAUACGGGCAGACUAGAGUUCGGCAGGGGAGACUGGAAUUCCUGGUGUAGCGGUGAAAUGCGCAGAUAUCAGGAGGAACACCGGUGGCGAAGGCGGGUCUCUGGGCCGAUACUGACGCUGAGGAGCGAAAGCGUGGGGAGCAAACAGG
rnacentral:rRNA from 1 species